UUUUAAUCAAUUGAAUUUUCUUUAAAUCAAAUCUUGCAUAAAUCUACUUCUCAAUCUUAAUUGUUCUGUCUCAACUUGGACUUUUGUGAAGACCUGUUUUUUUAAUAUAUAUAUAUGUAUUAAUUAAAUAUUUAAAUUAUAAUAUUAGAAGUAAGAGGUGGCUUUAGCACAUGCAAAUAUAGUAAUUGACUUACAAGUGGCCAUCAUAAAUAUUAGAAUAUGAAAGAUAUUUUGUAUUCUUUUCUUGCCGUCAUUGGUUUGAUGCACUUAUCCAAAACUUGGAUAACAAGUUUGUUGCCAGCCAAUAAGUGAACAUUGGUUUGCCGCCUCUCUUGUUGUUUAAAUAGGAAACCGCCUCUUUUGCAUAGAAAUAAAUGCAAAGAGAGAUAGAAACGGAAAGAAAAAUAAAUAGAAAGAAGGGAAGAUAGUAAGAGAGGUAGAGAGAAGAAGAAGUAUUGGAAGAAAAUAGAACACUGAGUUUGUGAAUACGGUGGAAAAUUGGGAAACACCAAACAAUUCUAGCAAAAGCUUUGGUGACAAGGUAGGGGGUUUCUUGGGGGGCCUUUUACAGAGAUUGAUUUAAUUAAAUUUCGUGAGCAUCAUAUUAUGCAUGAUACUAUUUGAUUUACGUUCCUUGUAUUGGGUGUUUACGUAAUCUUAACUGUUUGAACAAUGUGGGUAUGAUUAUAUGUACAUUGGUGAUAUUUAAAUGAUUACAUUGUUUUUAUGAGGAGGAAUGCUAGCAACCUUGUCUUUAACCUUCUCCUUUGGACCUUCUUCAUUUUUUGCUUGACAUGUGUCAUUCUCCUUACACUUAAAACAAUGUCAUUAAUAUAUUAUACAAACUAACUUUUGCUUUCCAAGUUUACCCUUAUUAAAUGUAUUCAAUUUAUCCAAACAAAUUUCACAACUUUCUUACCAUAUUAUUAUUAUUAUUUUUUUACUUUCAUUAUUUUUUUAAAAUUUUUUUUUUUUGCUUUUUAAAAAAAGAGGAAAUGUCCUUUUU
rnacentral:lncRNA from 1 species